CUUUGGUCCCCUCGCAAUAGACGACUAUUAACUCCGCCAGGCCCGGAAGGGAGCAACGGUAGUAGUUAUUCUGUGUGCCGAGGUGUGGCUAUUGGGG
rnacentral:SRP_RNA from 2 species